rnacentral:piRNA from 1 species
UAUGAAAUGCUGAGAGACUGU